UACAGAGGGUGCAAACGUUGUUCGGAAUUACUGGGCGUAAAGCGCGUGUAGGCGGCCCUGCAAGUCGGGUGUGAAAUCCCAUGGCUCAACCGUGGAAGUGCACUCGAAACUGCGGGGCUGGAGUGCUGGAGAGGAAGGUGGAAUGUUCGGUGUAGAGGUGAAAUUCGUAGAUAUCGAGCGGAACACCGGUAGCGAAGGCGGCCUUCUGGACAGCAACUGACGCUGAGACGCGAAAGCGUGGGGAGCAAACAGG
rnacentral:rRNA from 1 species